UCCUCUAUCAAUUUUUUUUAUUGAAAUUCUAAACAUCAAUUUUUUAUUUUCUUUUUAUUUUCUUCUGGUUUCCACCGUUUCCUAUCUUCGUUCCCGAAAGUGGAAACGGAUAUGGAAGGCAGCUAAAGCGACAAGCCGCACGCCUAUGGUCGAUUUAUCAGUGAUUUGGGUUUUGUUCUUUGUCUCGCUACUUCACCCACAACCUUACUAAACGACCUCCUCUAUUGUGUUUUGCUUCUUGUUGCACUCUUCCUCGAUUUUGCAUCCACCGAAAUGCUUCAUCGGUUGAAAUUGAUAUUCAAUUGUUUGAUUUUAUGUCUUCCCCAAUUUAGGGUUCAAUCUAUAUAACACCGUCAGCUCUAAUUUUAGUUUAUUCCAAUUUCGAUGGUUUGAAGGUUUGUGUUCAAUUGAUGGAAACUAGGCCACAAUCCAAAGACCUUCUUGCCAUCACCAUCAGAUAUUGGACUUGGAAGGCAGUGAAAUGCACUCGAUUUUUCCUUCCUUAAACCUUUCCAAAGCUGAUUCAUCUAUACUCUUUGAAGGAGAUGUCUAUAUGGGUUUUCCUUGAUUCAAAGGUAUUUAUCAGUUUUCUUCAUCUCUAAUAUUCAGGUUUAGAUGGAUGUUACGCCUGCUCCACCAAACUGUUCGUCGGAGGUUCCUUUCUCUAUAUCAAAGCCUAUAGUUGGUGCCCAAAAUCGAGUCUCACACAAAUGGUAUGAUCUCAAUGAGGAGGCUCUUCGUAGGCGACAAAGGUUCUGUCCUGAAAAAUUGCACAUAUCUUUAGGAAAUAAUUGCUUUAUAGAUAUAUAAAGUGAUGUGUUUUGAUUAUAUAAUUGUUUUCAUAAGAUAGGAUGCGAUUCAACCUGUGAUAUUUUUCCUCAGACAUCUAAAACCUGAACAAAACUAUAUAUAUUUCUAUAUUCUUUUUAGUUUUGAUUACUGUCAGAUCAGAUCAGGUUUACCAUACAAGUGAACACCAUCAAUUUAUCAAACAACAAACUGUAAAUCAGGUUUGACUUGUAAUAUUUUUUAAAUUUAUUUUGAUAAAGCAUGUAUUUCCUUUUGAAUUAUGGUUUUUUUUCAAAAGCCGAAAUUACACACAGUGAUAUAUGAGAGAUAUAUCCAUAUAGUUUAUGGUGAUUACUUGAAGAAUAUGACCAACUUUUUUUUGUUCCAUUUAUCUGUUAAUUUAGCAAUACUUUUCCCCUAAUAUAGCAUUGUACCGUUUUUUUUUUCUGAUCUAUGUGGAUUUUAUUUCAAGGGUUGGUGAAAGGGGUGAUCAUGUGACUUUGCAGAGUGCUGCUGAUUUGCUAUAUAAAAAGUGCUUUUAAAUAUACUUUUGUUAUAUAUAAAAAAAUUAGCUGCAUUCUAACUUACUUUGUAUUUUUAACUUAAUUUACUCCGUAUUAUAAUUCAUGGAAAUCGUUUAUUUAAUAUAGUAGUAUUCCUGAGUUUUAAGUUUU